CAGCUUAAGGAAGGAAGGGCUCAUUCUUGGCUUAUAGUUUGAGGAGAAACAUUCGCCAUGGUUAAAAAGGAAGAGCAGCAGGAGCAGGUGGCUGACUGGUCAGAUUGUAUCCGCUGCCAGGAAACACACAGCUGAACUGGAUAUUGGACUAGGCUACAGAACUGCAGCACCUGCCCAGAGUGACCUACUUCUAGCUAGGCUCCCCGCCACGAAAACAGUCUAUGUCCUUCCAAAUCGUCGACCCCAGCUGGAACAAGGUGUUCGAAUACAUGAUCCCAUGGGGAACAUUCUGCAUUUGAACCUCAGCAUGUGGGACAGAUGCUCGAUUGGUCAGCGAGAACCAAGGCAGAAGAGCUGGAGCCUGCCGUGAUGAGGCAGGCUGUUUCUUAGGUGCAUCACUUUAAUCUAAGAGGGAGCAGGAAGCCAAAGCCAGGAGGAGAUAUAAGGACUGGGAAAAUAGAUCCUCCAAGAACAGAAGAGAGGCCAUAGAAAGAAGUAAAAGAAAUUCUGGAGACGCAACAGUGAGCAAAACAGAUGCCCGGCUCUUGUGGGAAGGAGACACAGUAAGCCAACAGGCAGACGAGCGUGUGAAAAACAUCAGAAGAGACUAUGGCAGAUCCGGUUAGGCUGCUGACCAGUGUGCUCCAGGGAUGAUGAGCCCAUUUCUUCCUACUAGUGCUGGGGUUACGAGCGGAGCGGGCACACGACGCUGAACAGGUUGUAACAACAUGUUGUAACAGGUUGUAACAGGUUUUGGAAUGAAAGCUCUGUUCCUUCCGUUUUCGUGGUGGAUACAUUAUAACAGCCCAUCUGCCCGGGCUCCUGGUCUUAGACCUCCCCCAAACCUGGAGAGCAACACCCCAUGGCUCCUGAUGUGUGUCUCCUUCAGGUCCCGAGCGUGACUGGCUUUGUUCCCUGAUUUCUCAGUCUCUGCUUCACCGCCAGACUUGGUUGGGCAUUUACUCAGCAACAUCUGGAAAAAUGAUUCUACUGCUCCAUGUUUCAGCUUUCGAGAAUGCGUGCCUUUCUUUCAUCUCAGGGCUGUUCUGUGAUGGCCUCAAGGUUUUGGUUUUUUUUAACCUCUGUGCCAAUUUGAAGAAAACAUUGUAUAAGGGCGUUUUAGCUCCGUGUUAAGUGGAUAGAGAAAAAGAAGUACAAUUAUAGGUGCACCCUGGUUUGGAAAAAUGGAUGCACGGAAAUUCUUAUAAUCCGUCUCUGUUUGGAGAUCUUUCGUGGUUAAAAUUUCCACCGUUUUCCUUCAGAUAAUUUCUCCAGUGUAGUUAAAAUAAGCACAGAUUUUUUUUUCCCCACAAAAUGGAGUCCUUAUCCAACUGGUCAACCUCCGUAGAAAUUCACUCACUAGAUAAAGACGCGUGUGCAUUCUGAUACCCUCUCCUCCACUCAGCACACACGCUGAGGCACGGUGCUCUUCCAUUUCUGGAAACUCUACUCAGCCGUCCCCUUCAUGCCUGCGUACACUAGUCAGCUUUCUCCCGCUGUCCCCAACGGCUGAGAGAAUCAGUCCGUUUACAAAGAGAAAAGCUUUACUUGGCUCCCAGUUUGGGAGGUUCAUUGUUUUUUCCUUUUUAGGGUAUGUGUGAUGUGAUGUGGUGUGCGUGUGUGUGUGUGUGUGCUGUGUGUGUGUGUGUGUACAUGCUCAUAUGUGCUUGUGCAUGUAGGCCCAAAGCUGCCCUUGGACAUCCUCCUCAAUCACUUCUCCACCUCAUCUUUUGACACAAGAUCUCUCACCAAACCUGGAGCUCACUGACUUGACUAGGCUGGCCGGCUUUGUGAGCCAUAGGGAUCUGCAUGUCUGUCUUCCCGUGGCUGGGAUUACGGGUGCCAUGCCUGGCUUUUUCCAAGUAUGCUGGAGAUCCGGGAUUGGGGGUCUCAGGCUUGUGUGGUACUUUGCAGUCCAUCUCCAUCUCCCCGGUCCCUAGCCUUGGAGGUUCAGCUCACCAUGUAUUGGCUCUGUGAAGCAGCUUGCUGGCAUCAUGUGGCAAAAUGAUCACCUCAGGACCAGAACAGGAAAGAGAGGAAGAGGAAAAGACUGGUGUGCCAAUAUCCCCUUAAGGGCAUGCCCCUGAUGACCAGAGUCCCUUUCAUGAGACUUCUCAAGCAUUUUUCCAUCUUCUGAACGAACAUGCUGGGAACCAAGCCUUUAACAGCUGGGUUUUCCAAACUGUAGCACCACCCACAGACUUGGCUUGGCCCAGAUUCUGGAGCCAGAACCAGGAACCCCUGGCUCAAUGGCUUACUUUUGGUCCAAAACCUACUUCAUCCACUUCCCCUUCUCUUUGCUCCUGUUUCCCACAAACCCCUUCAGAAGUUGUCCAUGCUAAUGGACUCAUUUUCUCUCCUUUACGUCUUGACUCCAUUUAGAUCAAGCUACCACCUCUUAAACUGCUUUUUUCAAGGACACCAACCAAAUCUAGUGAAGACAGCUCUGUCGUCUGCCAAGUUGUCCUCACAGUGGCCCAUUGCUCUUUCUGCUCUGAACUCUUUUCCUUUUUAUGAAACAGGGUUUUUUUUUUUUUUUUCUGUGUAACCCCACCUAUCCUGGAACUUACUCCUUAAACCAGGCUGGCGUUGAACCCAGAUCCACCUGCCUCUGCCUCCUGAGUGCUGGCACCAAGGGCAUGCGCCAACCAAGCCAACACAACUCCCUCUUUACUUGGCAUCUGGACCCUCCUUAUCCGAUGUUCCCCCUUCCACUCUGAUCACUCUUUGCUGUUUUCUCCUUCCCUCCCCAAUCUUUAUCCACUGGAAUAUUCUAGAGCUCAGUUCUUGAGACUGAACAGAAGAGCGUCCUGUAGCAUCCCAUCCCAUCCCAAUCUCAUUGUCUUAGCACCCAAACUAAAUGACAGGGAGUGCAAGACCUGGCUCCUCCCAGCUAGAAAUGUCUCUUGGCAUUCAUCGGGUCCUCAAGACCCCCCACCCCUCUGUGUGUGUGUAUUUAAAGCAUCCACUGUGCUAUGUGACUCAUCUAUGCAGCCUUGUUCCUUCCUCUACUUUCUUUCUGUAGCUCUGCCCCAGGAGAACUUCCUAAUAAGCAUCGUGUGUUCUGAGUGCCACCACACAUGCAUACCACUGCCUGGGGACCCAGCUUGUGAACUGACCUCUCUGCUACUCCUCAACUCUUCAAGCACCCCCUUUGCCUCAGAGCUUUAGUGAUGGGUCUUCCUUGGCUUGCUUUCCUGUAUUCAAACUCGAUCCCUUUCUCCCUUCAAGUCUCUACUCCAACAUCCUAUGGCAUUCUUUGAUGACCUUAGGCAGAAUGGCAACUGCCACCAUCAACACCACCAUCAGCGCUCCACCAGCUCCCUUAGUAUCUCAGAUGUCCUGUAGUUUUUAUCCUCAGCAGAUCCACAUUCCCUUGUUUUUCUCUCGGUGUACUCCAGCUUCCCAAGGGCAGAGACUUGACUAUUUUGUUUCCUGCUAUUUAUAGAACAGCUAGAACAGAGUCUGUUUGGUAUCAAGUCAGGAUGGAGAUGAUGGCUUUGCUCUGCCUCAGUUCUUGUCACUUGCUCACCUGCAUUAUCUCUCUGGGGAAGGUUCCAUCCUGAGGGCCACUGCUUUCUUUCCUUCUCAUUGUCAAUAUCUAACAGAGGCGUUGUAGGGGGGGAGGGACUUUGUUAGGGCUGAUGGCCUCAGAGUGUUCAGUUUCUUGCCCCAACCCCCAGUGCUUGGAUAAAACAUGGUGGCAGACAAAGGAGCUUCUUCAUGGGGGCCAGAAGGCAGAGGAAAGGGAUAGGGGGAGGAGUUACUGCAAGGUGUAGCCCAGGGACAGGGCGCCAGUGACUUAUUCCCUUCAAGGAGGCCUUAUGUCUGUCUGUAUCCUUCAGCACCUCCCAAUAACACCAUCAGAUGAUGACUCCACGAAGGAACCAGCCCACGCAUUAAGUCAAAGUUAUCACCAGAUAAACUGUUUCUAGAGACAUCCUUCAGAUGUCUCCAAACCUAAGCUUUGUUAAUCCACAAAGAGUCUCUGAAUAUAACCAAGUUUAGGAUUAAAAUGAACCACCUCAAUUGCUUUCUGCCUUGAUCCCCAUUCCUCUGAUGCUUGAUGUUGGCCUUGAUCCCAAAGGGAUGGGCACACGCUACCACACUGAGCUACAUCUCUGGUCCUGAUUCUAUUAUACCCUCUGUCUUAGUUAGGGUUUUACUGCGGUGAACAGACACUAUGACCAAGGCAACUCAUAUAAGGACGACAUUUAAUUGGGGUUGGCUUAUAGGUUCAGAGGUUCAAUCCAUCAUCAUCAAGGUGGGAGCAGGGCAGCAUCCAGGCAGGCAUGGUGCAGGCAGAGCUGAGAUUUCUGUAUCUUCACCUGAAGGCUGCUAGCAGAAUACUGAUUUUCAGGCAGCUAGGAUGAGAGUCUUAGAGCCCACACCCACAGUGACGCACCUACUCUAAUAGGGCCACACCUACUCCAACAAGGCCACACCCAUUCAUUCCAACAGGGCCACACCCACUCCAACAAGGCCACACCUACUCCAACAGUGCCAUUCCCUGGGCCGAGCGUAUAGAAACCGUCAUAUCCUCCAAGGCUAAGAAUCUGCUUUGAGGCCUCCUCAGCCUUUUUAGAAGUUUUAAUCUGGUAUUCAGGUCCCAGUACCCAAAAGGAAUCCCACCUCUCAAGCUUCAGAGGCCCUUGUAUCGUCCAUUGUUAAAACAUACCGAAGUCAAAGACCUCCUCCAUCAAUGUCCUACCAACCCAAGAUCUGUCCAGCCUUUCUGAAAACUACAUUCAAAUUAGUGGCCCCAUCUCCACUUCUGCAUCCCAGAGGUCACUGACCCAGGGGAGGAGGGUCACGCUGGGGUCAGGGUAGCCUGGGACACACAACACCCUCAGCAGGAUGCUCUGAGACCAGGCAGUCCCUUGGCUCAAAAGAAAACAAUUCCUGUGGACUAUUAGUAUGAUGUGGAAUUUCAUGAUAAUUCCAUACAUACUUUAAGUAGGAAAAUCUCAUUGUCAGCCAAGUUUGCUAGGUCCAGAGUUUGCUAUCUCACUUACAAGAAAACAUGGCUUCACCUCCAAAGGGUACUUAUAUUUUAUCUACUCAGUGCUAAGGCUGGAACCCAGGGCCUCACUCAUAUUAGGCAAGAACUCUACCAGUGAGCUGUAUCCCAGACCCCUGAAGGGUAGCAGCCUUCCCGAACAGCUAACAAAAACCGUACUGGAUUAGCGGCGAGCUUCUCUUUGCUACCCCACGUUUGCCAGAUCUAAUGGAAACAGUUUGUUAGAUCUUGCCAAACACAGAAAGUUUCUCUCGUUCCCACCACUUCGCUAUUGGAAAGGAAGGGAGUUGCUGCUGCAGAGGUCGGGUGUGGUAUAUUUAACUGAGUGCCAGAAGCAAAUUCAACACAAAUAACCAAUGUGGGCAGAUUGCACAAUUCUCAAGUUAUUUUUGUGAUGGGCAAUGUUUUUCUUUUUCAUUCCAUUUUCCUUCCUCUCGAGCUGGCUAAUGAUUUCCAAUGAAGACAAAAGCGCGAUACACUUAUCGCCCGGUGGACUCGUGCAUCCCUGGGAGAUCUUGUGUUGAUACUCUGUUUUGAUGGAUUCCCAGCAGAGUAGAUACGGGGAAGGAGUCACUGUUGGGACCUUUCCCUCUGUAACUUGGAAGUGGGUCACCCUCAGCUCAGCGAAGUCAACACAACGUCACAAAAUAAGGUCACGGCAACUUCUGGAGUCUGAGAAAAGCAAAGCCACGUGCAGACACAUUGUGAAAGUGCACUUAAUAUUCUGCCUGACUGGGUAGGACGCUUCCUCGGCCAACCCGGUGAGCCGUCUCAUGUUGGUUUGGCAGGCGACCUCAGUGGAGCAUGUGAUGUCCACACUCAGUACCAUGCAAUUCGCCCC